UUAGUUUUAAUUAAAUACAAGUUGUAGUAUACUAAGAACAGAUGCUUAUUUUGUUUUUUAAUCAACUUAGAGGAAGUUUUUUUGGGUCAUUUAUGUGUUUGGCAAUGUGCUAUGUAACCAUUCUUCCUUCCAUCACUUGUUUGUUUAUAUCUUACUGGGGAUGACAAUAUUGAAAGUCUGCAACUAAAAGCUACUCUGAAGCCUGACUUCAUUCAGCAUGUUCAUGAAUUCAUCAUCUUAGGGAGCCAC
rnacentral:lncRNA from 1 species